rnacentral:rRNA from 1 species
AUUGAACGCUGGCGGCAGGCCUAACACAUGCAAGUCGAACGAGUGGCGGACGGGUGAGUAAUGUCUGGGAAACUGCCCGAUGGAGGGGGAUAACUACUGGAAACGGUAGCUAAUACCGCAUACCAUCGGAUGUGCCCAGAUGGGAUUAGCUAGUAGGUGGGGUAACGGCUCACCUAGGCGACGAUCCCUAGAUGGUCUGAGAGGAUGACCAGACACACUGGGACUAAGACACGGCCCAGACGCCUACGGGAGGCAGCAGGAGGGAAUAUUGCACAAUGGGCGCAAGCCUGAUGCAGCCAUGCCGCGUGUAUGAAGAAGGCCUUCGGGUUGUAAAGUACUUUCAGCGAGGAGGCGUUACUCGCAGAAGAAGCACCGGCUAACUCCGUGCCAGCAGCCGCGGUAAUUC